GCAAGUCGCACGAGAACCCAUCUUCGGAAGGGGGACAGUGGCGAAAGGGUGAGUAAUGCAUAGAUAACCAACCCGCGACUUCGGGAUAACUAGAGGAAACUCUAGCUAAUACCGAAUUGCCUCGCUGUGCCGCAUGGCACUGGCGAGUAAAGAUGGCCUCUCAACGAUGCCCUUGGUUGCGGACGGGUCUAUGUGCUAUCAACGCUUGUUGGUGAGGUAACGGCUCACCAAGGCUUACGGGUAGCCGGCCUGAGAGGGUGAUC
rnacentral:rRNA from 1 species